AUGGAGAAGGUACAAGUUUUCAUCGUCGGAGCGGGUCCUUCUGGGCUUGCCACAGCAGCAUGCCUAAGCAAACUCUCUAUACCAUAUAUCAUCGCUGAGCGUGAAGAUUGUAUUAUGUCAUUAUGGCAGAAAUACACAUAUGAUCGCCUCAAGCUCCACAUCGCCAAAGAGUUUUGUGAGCUACCCCACAUGGCAUACCCAACUGAUUCGCCGACGUACCUUCCCAAAGACCAGUUUUUAAGGUAUAUGGAGGAUUAUGUCAAGCACUUCAAUAUAUCCCCGAAGUUUAACACUUCAGUUGAGUCAUGCAUGUACGAUGAGGUGAGGAAAUGUUGGGUUGUCACGACACAUAACAAGGUGGAUGGCCCAACUAUGUAUGCAUCCAACUUCUUGGUUGUAGCAACAGGUGAAAAUAGUAUGGGAUAUGUUCCAGAGAUCGUUGGCCUACAAAGCUUUCCUAGUGAAACAAUCCACUCAUCAAGUUACAAGUCCGGAAAUGAUUAUGUUGGGAAAAGCGUGCUUGUUGUUGGAUGUGGGAACUCUGGCUUUGAGAUUGCCCAUGAUCUUGCAGUGCAUGGAGCUAACACUUCCAUCAUUAUCCGUAGUCCGUUGCAUGUUAUGACAAAGGAGUUGAUCCACCUGGGCAUGGUGCUCUCAACGUGGCACCUUCCACUGAAGCUUGUAGAUCUUAUUCUUAUGAUCGUCGCAUAUAUCUUAUUAGGUGAUUUAUCAAAGUAUGGAAUUGUGAGGCCUAAUAUUGGUCCACUCACCCUAAAAGCAAAAACUGGUCGGUCUGCUGUCAUAGACACUGGCACCACUAAGCUAAUAAAAAAAGGUGAUAUCAAGGUAUUCGGUCCAAUAUCAUGCAUUCGAGGAAAUCUCAUAGAGUUUGCAGAUGGGAAUGAGAGGUACUAUGACGCUAUUGUGUUUGCCACAGGUUACAAAAGCACCGCCAAUAUAUGGCUCAAGAACGACAUGGGUAUGCUAAAUAGUGAUGGCAUACCCAAAAAAGACUUCCCCAACCACUGGAAAGGUGCAAAUGGACUCUACAAUGUCGGAUUUGCAAGGAGGGGAUUGGCUGGUAUUGCACAUGAUGCCAAUAUUGUUGCAAGUGACAUCCAUACCAACAUAGAAAUGACAUAUUUUAAUUAG
rnacentral:rRNA from 1 species